GAUGAACGCUGGCGGCGUGCUUAACACAUGCAAGUCGAACGAUGAAGCCCAGCUUGCUGGGUGGAUUAGUGGCGAACGGGUGAGUAACACGUGAGUAACCUGCCCUUGACUCUGGGAUAAGCCCGGGAAACUGGGUCUAAUACCGGAUAGGAGCGCCUGUCGCAUGACGGGUGCUGGAAAGAUUUUUCGGUCAUGGAUGGACUCGCGGCCUAUCAGCUUGUUGGUGAGGUAAUGGCUCACCAAGGCGACGACGGGUAGCCGGCCUGAGAGGGUGACCGGCCACACUGGGACUGAGACACGGCCCAGACUCCUACGGGAGGCAGCAGUGGGGAAUAUUGCACAAUGGGCGGAAGCCUGAUGCAGCGACGCCGCGUGAGGGAUGACGGCCUUCGGGUUGUAAACCUCUUUCAGUAGGGAAGAAGCGGAAGUGGCGGUACCUGCAGAAGAAGCACCGGCUAACUACGUG
rnacentral:rRNA from 1 species